AACGAACGCUGGCGGCAGGCUUAACACAUGCAAGUCGAACGAGCUGGGAACUUCGGUUCCCGAUGCUAGUGGCGCACGGGUGAGUAACACGUGGGAACGUACCCUUUAGUACGGAAUAACUCAGGGAAACUUGAGCUAAUACCGUAUGACUCCUUCGGGAGAAAGAUUUAUCGCUAAAGGAGCGGCCCGCGUCUGAUUAGGUAGUUGGUGAGGUAACGGCUCACCAAGCCGACGAUCAGUAGCUGGUCUGAGAGGAUGAUCAGCCACACUGGGACUGAGACACGGCCCAGACUCCUACGGGAGGCAGCAGUGGGGAAUAUUGGACAAUGGGGGCAACCCUGAUCCAGCCAUGCCGCGUGAGUGAAGAAGGCCUCGGUUG
rnacentral:rRNA from 1 species